rnacentral:rRNA from 1 species
GACGAACGCUGGCGGCGUGCUUAACACAUGCAAGUCGAACGGAAAGGCCCUGCUUUUGUGGGGUGCUCGAGUGGCGAACGGGUGAGUAACACGUGAGUAACCUGCCCUUGACUUUGGGAUAACUUCAGGAAACUGGGGCUAAUACCGGAUAGGAGCUCCUGCUGCAUGGUGGGGGUUGGAAAGUUUCGGCGGUUGGGGAUGGACUCGCGGCUUAUCAGCUUGUUGGUGGGGUAGUGGCUUACCAAGGCUUUGACGGGUAGCCGGCCUGAGAGGGUGACCGGCCACAUUGGGACUGGGAUACGGCCCAGACUCCUACGGGAGGCAGCAGUGGGGAAUAUUGCACAAUGGGCGGAAGCCUGAUGCAGCAACGCCGCGGGCGGGAUGACGGCCUUCGGGUUGUAAACCGCUUUCGCCUGUGACGAAGCGUGAGUGACGGUAAGGGGUAAAGAAGCACCGGCUAACUACGUGC